UGCUAUACAUGCAGUCGAACGCACAGCGAAAGGUGCUUGCACCUUUCAAGUGAGUGGCGAACGGGUGAGUAACACGUGGACAACCUGCCUCAAGGCUGGGGAUAACAUUUGGAAACAGAUGCUAAUACCGAAUAAAACUUAGUGUCGCAUGACACAAAGUUAAAAGGCGCUUCGGCGUCACCUAGAGAUGGAUCCGCGGUGCAUUAGUUAGUUGGUGGGGUAAAGGCCUACCAAGACAAUGAUGCAUAGCCGAGUUGAGAGACUGAUCGGCCACAUUGGGACUGAGACACGGCCCAAACUCCUACGGGAGGCUGCAGUAGGGAAUCUUCCACAAUGGGCGAAAGCCUGAUGGAGCAACGCCGCGUGUGUGAUGAAGGCUUUCGGGUCGUAAAGCACUGUUGUAUGGGAAGAACAGCUAGAAUAGGAAAUGAUUUUAGUUUGACGGUACCAUACCAGAAAGGGACGGCUAAAUACGUGCCAGCAGCCGCGGUAAUACGUAUGUCCCGAGCGUUAUCCGGAUUUAUUGGGCGUAAAGCGAGCGCAGACGGUUUAUUAAGUCUGAUGUGAAAGCCCGGAGCUCAACUCCGGAAUGGCAUUGGAAACUGGUUAACUUGAGUGCAGUAGAGGUAAGUGGAACUCCAUGUGUAGCGGUGGAAUGCGUAGAUAUAUGGAAGAACACCAGUGGCGAAGGCGGCUUACUGGACUGCAACUGACGUUGAGGCUCGAAAGUGUGGGUAGCAAACAGGAUUAGAUACCCUGGUAGUCCACACCGUAAACGAUGAACACUAGGUGUUAGGAGGUUUCCGCCUCUUAGUGCCGAAGCUAACGCAUUAAGUGUUCCGCCUGGGGAGUACGACCGCAAGGUUGAAACUCAAAGGAAUUGACGGGGACCCGCACAAGCGGUGGAGCAUGUGGUUUAAUUCGAAGCAACGCGAG
rnacentral:rRNA from 1 species